rnacentral:rRNA from 1 species
GACGAACGCUGGCGGCGUGCUUAACACAUGCAAGUCGAACGGAAAGGCCUCUUUCGGGGGGUACUCGAGUGGCGAACGGGUGAGUAACACGUGAGUAACCUGCCCUUGACUUUGGGAUAACUUCAGGAAACUGGGGCUAAUACCGGAUAGGAGCUCCUGCUGCAUGGUGGGGGUUGGAAAGUUUCGGCGGUUGGGGAUGGACUCGCGGCUUAUCAGCUUGUUGGUGGGGUAGUGGCUUACCAAGGCUUUGACGGGUAGCCGGCCUGAGAGGGUGACCGGCCACAUUGGGACUGAGAUACGGCCCAGACUCCUACGGGAGGCAGCAGUGGGGAAUAUUGCACAAUGGGUGGAAGCCUGAUGCAGCAACGCCGCGUGCGGGAUGACGGCCUUCGGGUUGUAAACCGCUUUCGCCUGUGACGAAGCGUGAGUGACGGUAAUGGGUAAAGAAGCACCGGCUAACUACGUG